AGCCAGACUCCUACGGGAGGCAGCAGUGGGGGAUAUUGCACAAUGGGGGGAACCCUGAUGCAGCGACGCCGCGUGGGUGAAGGAGCGUUUCGGCGCGUAAAGCCCUAUCGGCAGGGAAGAAGGAGGACGGUACCUGACUAAGAAGCCCCGGCUAACUACGUGCCAGCAGCCGCGGGAAUACGUAGGGGGCAAGCGUUAUCCGGAUUUACUGGGUGUAAAGGGGGCGCAGACGGCAGCGCAAGCCAGGAGUGAAAGCCCGGGGCCCAACCCCGGGACUGCUCUUGGAACUGCGCGGCUGGAGUGCAGGAGGGGCAGGCGGAAUUCCUGGUGUAGCGGUGAAAUGCGUAGAUAUCGGGAGGAACAUCGGUGGCGAAAGCGCUUUACUGGACCAUUAUUGACGCUGAGGAACGAAAGCCAGGGGAGCAAAUGGGAUUAGAUACCCGAGUA
rnacentral:rRNA from 1 species